UGAGAGGUGGAAUCUCGAUUUUUGGCACCUGAGAAUCCCACCUGCGGCUCGGUUCAGGGCCAGCGUUUUGCCCAGGCUGCAGCUUUUGAGAGAGCAGAGCGUCUGCUUGGCCCUCCCUGGGUCCCAGACCUCAGGGGCCAUUGUGUAGCACUGCCGAGCCACGGUUUUGGGGUGAUUUUGGGGUAUCCACAUGAUAUAGGUGAUUUUUGAGGUGAUUUUGGGGUAUCCACGUGAUAUGGGUGAUUUUUAGGGUGAUUUUGGGGUAUCCACGUGAUAUGGGUGAUUUUUAGGGUGAUUUUGGGGUAUCCACGUGAUAUGGGUGAUUCUUAGGGUGAUUUUGGGGUAUCCACGUGAUAUGGAUGAUUUUUGGGGUGAUUUUGGGGUAUCCACGUGAUAUGGAUGAUUUUUGGGGUGAUUUUGGGGUAUCCACGUGAUAUGGAUGAUUUUGGGAGAGAUUUGGGGUAUCCUGGUGAUAUGGGUGAUUUUUGGGGCAAUUUUGGGGAGAUUUUGGGGUAUCCAGGCAGUGCGGCUGUGAGAUUUUGGGGAGGGGGAGAUGGUGAGGCUGCCGGUCAGCAUUGAAGUGACCGAACUGUGGGAUUUGAAGGGUUCUGCACAGUGGGGCUGUGGGCUUUUGGGGUUUCGAGCCAGCCCCGCUCCCAGCAGGUGGCAUCUUCAGCUCAGGAUUUGCUGCUCCAGCUUAGCCGGGUGAUGGAGCCGGGGAGGGAUUUGUGGAGCAGCUCAGGAGCAGUGUGAAGCUCUGCAGAGCAGGGACAGGGGCUGGAUGCUGGUGGCACAGAGCUCUGGAGGGCUGGACCAGCGGGCAGCAGCUGGGAGGGCUCGGUGGUGGUGCGAGAAUUGGGACAGAUCGGCCGAGCUCAGCGGCUGAUCGAUGAUCCCAGGAGCCGAUAAGGCAUUUAUUUAUUUACAAUGAUGAGGAAACCGCUGCUCCCGUCACCCUUUUAUUCAGGAGGAGCUGUGGAAGCUGAACGUGGCAACGCUCCUUGGGAUGCAAACGGCAGCGGAUGUGGAUGCACGUGGAGAUAAGGGCAGCAGAGCGGGCACACCGCAGUGGGGAGGUGUCUCGGGGUCUCUAGCUGCUCAGAGUGACCCCGAGAAACGAAAAAAACUCUCUUUUCCCAGCCUGGCACUUGAAGGAGUCUGAGCUCUUCAGUUCUCGGUCUCAAGGUUGUUUAUUGUAUCUUAUCUAUAUUUUCUCCUGUUCAGCUAGACAGUCCAAGGCACUCUGCCUGCCCCCGGGGCAGUGUUAUGUCUUUAUACUAAAAACUACCUAUGCAAUGUUUACAAUUACUUCCCAAUACCCAUCACCUAUGUUAGACAGUGAGCUUCUACUCUAAACCCACCUAAAAGUGCCAACAUCACAGCAGAAGAUGGAGGCUAAGAAAAAGAAGGAGGAAGGCUGGACACACUCAGAUUCCUCCAUCUUGCCCCCUGAACCCACAUUCUAAAACCCCCAAAAAUCUAUUUUUGACCCUGUAAUAAAUUCACUGUCAUUCAACUUAAA